rnacentral:lncRNA from 1 species
GAAUGAGGGCACCUUAGUGGAUGUUCCUGCUUACUGGAAGUCUUCCAAAGGGUGUCCUGAAAAGCAAGCUUGUUUCUCUGGGAAAUGACCAUGCAGCUGAAAAAGAAGGAAAGCCUCCUAAGGAGAAGCUAGAGUUCACUCUCAUUCUUCAUGACCAGUUACAGAAAUAUGUGAUGGUUCCUUGCACUGCAUCAAAGCCUGCUUGCUGUUAUUCAGGAAUGCCCCAAAAGGUUGUGGAAUCUCUAUCCUUGGAGACAUUCAAAAGCAGCCUGGACAUGGUCCUGGG